rnacentral:sRNA from 1 species
UGCAGAAUUCAGUGAAUCAUCGAAUCUUUGAACGCACCUUGCGCUCCUUGGUAUUCCGAGGAGCAUGUCUGUUUGAGUGUCAUGAACUCUUCAACCCUCCAUUUCCUCGUUUGAAAUGUUUUGAGGUGAUUGGAUUUUGAGUACUUGCUCUUUUAUCAAAAUUAGCUUACUCGUAAUACAUUAGCACAAUUCAACUUCGAACUCGGAUUGACUCGGCGUAAUAGACUAUUCGCUGAGGACAUUGAGAAUUAAUUUUCUCUGAUGGCCGACUUUAGACGAUUUGAAUAGCUUCAAAUACUAUAAACCUUUUUUAAGAUUAGACCUCAAAUCAGGCAGGAUUACCCGCUGAACUUAA